UACGAGGGGUGCAAGCGUUGCUCGGAAUUAUUGGGCGUAAAGGGUAGGUAGGUGGUCUCAUUUGUCAGGGGUGAAAGCCUUGGGCUUAACCCAAGAAGUGCCCCUGAAACGGUGAGACUAGAGUGCUGGAGAGGGUCGUGGAAUUCCCGGUGUAGCGGUGGAAAUGCGUAGAGAUCGGGAGGAACACCAGAGGCGAAGGCGGCGACCUGGACAGCUACUGACACUCAACUACGAAAGCGUGGGGAGCAAACAGG
rnacentral:rRNA from 1 species